UUGCUGCCCUUGGGAAACCGCAGAAGAAGGACGAGGACGCGUUCGGCUUUGUCGGAGCGGAAAUGUCCAAGGCUGGCAACAAGUCCUGAGCA
rnacentral:SRP_RNA from 14 species